UGGGGAAUUUUGGACAAUGGGCGAAAGCCUGAUCCCAGCAAUGCCGCGUGUGUGAAGAAGGCCUUCGGGUUGUAAAGCACUUUUGUCCGGAAAGAAAUCCUUGGCUCUAAUACAGUCGGGGGAUGACGGUACCGGAAGAAUAAGCACCGGCUAACUACGUGCCAGCAGCCGCGGUAAUACGUAGGGUGCAAGCGUUAAUCGGAAUUACUGGGCGUAAAGCGUGCGCAGGCGGUUUGCUAAGACCGAUGUGAAAUCCCCGGGCUCAACCUGGGAACUGCAUUGGUGACUGGCAGGCUAGAAGUAUGGCAGAGGGGGGUAGAAUUCCACGUGUAGCAGUGAAAUGCGUAGAGAUGUGGAGGAAUACCGAUGGCGAAGGCAGCCCCCUGGGCCAAUACUGACGCUCAUGCACGAAAGCGUGGGGAGCAAAC
rnacentral:rRNA from 1 species